rnacentral:rRNA from 1 species
AGCGAACGCUGGCGGCAGGCUUAACACAUGCAAGUCGAGCGGGCACUUCGGUGUCAGCGGCAGACGGGUGUGUAACACGUGGGAACGUACCCUUUGGUUCGGAAUAACGCUGGGAAACUAGCGCUAAUACCGGAUACGCCCUUUUGGGGAAAGGCUUGCUGCCGAAGGAUCGGCCCGCGUCUGAUUAGCUAGUUGGUGGGGUAAUGGCCUACCAAGGCGACGAUCAGUAGCUGGUCUGAGAGGAUGAUCAGCCACACUGGGACUGAGACACGGCCCAGACUCCUACGGGAGGCAGCAGUGGGGAAUAUUGGACACUGGGCGCAAGCCUGAUCCAGCCAUGCCGCGUGAGUGAUGAAGGCCUUAGGGUUGUAAAGCUCUUUUGUCCGGGACGAUAAUGACGGUACCGGAAGAAUAAGCCCCGGCUAACUUCGUG